ensembl:misc_RNA 7SK 7SK RNA
GGAUGUGAGGAUGAUCUGGCUGUGAUAUCUAUAACCCCAUUGAUCACCAGGGUUGAUUUGGCUGGUCUGGCUGGCUAGAUGGGUAUCCCCUUCCUCCCUCACCACUCCAUGUGUGUCACUCCUGAAGCUAUGUGCUCAGUCGGUUGAAGAGGAUGGCAUUCCCCAAUAGAGAUGGACCAGUCUUCGGUCAAAGUUAUACAAGUACCUGUGCUCCCCUGCUAGAACCUCCAAACAAGCUCUCAAAUCCAAUUGCAAGGAAGACAAGAACAAAACAAAACAAAACAAAACAAAAACAUUACUAUAUCAAAUUU